AUGGUGGUGAACAACAAGGUUGAGACCCUGGCGUUCGACCUGGAGGCGGGGCACGGGCCCGGGGCGAAGGCGGUGGCGGAUUCGGGGGCGCGUCAGCAGCAGCAGCGGCAGGCGGCGCCGGCGGGGAUGGUGCAGGUGGAGCUGCACAAGGUGUCGGCGCCGGAGCAGCGGACGACGGCGCGGGCGCUGGGGCAGCGGCUGGCGGAGAUCUUCUUCCCCGACGACCCCCUGCACCAGUUCAAGAACCAGUCGCUCGCCCGGAAGCUGGUGCUCGCGCUGCAGUACUUCUUCCCCAUCUUCCACUGGGGCUCCAACUACAGCCUCCGCCUCCUCCGCUCCGACGCCGUCGCCGGCCUCACCAUUGCCAGCCUCGCCAUCCCACAGGGCAUCAGCUACGCCAAGCUCGCCAACCUGCCGCCCAUCAUCGGCCUAUAUUCGAGCUUCGUGCCGCCGUUGAUCUACGCGCUGCUGGGGAGCUCGCGGGACCUGGCGGUGGGGCCUGUAUCCAUCGCGUCGCUGGUGAUGGGGUCCAUGCUCCGGGAGGCGGUGGCGCCGGAGCAGCAGCCCAUCCUGUACCUGCAGCUGGCCUUCACCGCCACCUUCUUCGCCGGCGUCUUCCAGGCCUCGCUGGGCUUCCUCCGCCUCGGGUUCAUCGUCGACUUCCUCUCCAAGGCCACGCUCACCGGGUUCAUGGGCGGCGCCGCCGUCAUCGUGUCCCUGCAGCAGCUCAAGGGCCUCCUCGGCAUCGUCCACUUCACCACCCACAUGGGCUUCGUCGACGUCAUGGCCUCCGUCGUCCGCCGCCACAGCGAGUGGCAGUGGCAGACCAUCGUCAUGGGCGUCGCCUUCCUCGCCAUCCUCCUCGGCACACGCCAAAUCAGCGCUCGGAAUCCACGGCUUUUCUGGGUGUCGGCGGCGGCUCCCCUGACGUCGGUGAUUGCCUCCACCGUCAUCUCCUACCUCUGCAGAGGCCACGGCAUCAGCAUCAUCGGCGACCUCCCGAGGGGAGUGAACCCUCCAUCCAUGAACAUGCUCGUCUUCAGCGGCUCCUACGUCGCCCUGGCCGUCAAGACCGGGAUCAUGACCGGCAUCCUGUCCCUCACCGAGGGGAUCGCGGUGGGCCGGACGUUCGCGUCGAUCAACAACUACAACGUGGACGGGAACAAGGAGAUGAUGGCGAUCGGGGUGAUGAACAUGGCGGGGUCCUGCGCCUCCUGCUACGUCACCACGGGCUCCUUCUCCCGCUCCGCCGUCAACUACAGCGCCGGGUGCCGGACGGCGGUGUCGAACAUCGUCAUGGCCUCCGCCGUCCUGGUGACGCUGCUCUUCCUGAUGCCGCUGUUCCACUACACCCCGAACGUGAUCCUGUCGGCCAUCAUCAUCACCGCCGUGGCCGGGCUGAUCGACGUCCGCGGCGCCGCCAAGCUGUGGAAGGUGGACAAGCUGGACUUCUGCGCGUGCGUGUCCGCCUUCCUCGGCGUGCUCCUCGUGUCCGUCCAGGUCGGGCUGUCGAUCGCCGUGGGCAUCUCGCUGUUCAAGAUCCUGCUGCAGGUGACCCGGCCCAACACCGUCGUCAUGGGGCUGGUCCCCGGCACGCAGAGCUACCGCAGCAUGGCGCAGUACCGCGAGGCCGUGCGCGUGCCGCCGUUCCUCGUCGUCGGCGUCGAGUCGGCCAUCUACUUCGCCAACUCCACCUACCUGGUGGAGCGGAUCAUGCGGUACCUCCGAGAGGAGGAGGAGCGCGCCGCCAAGGCCAACCUCUGCGGCGUCCGCUGCAUCGUCCUCGACAUGAGCGCGGUGACGGCGAUCGACACGAGCGGGCUGGACGCGCUGGCGGAGAUGAAGCGGGUGCUGGACAAGCGGGGCAUCGACCUGGUGCUGGCGAACCCGGUGGGGUCGGUGACGGAGAGGAUGUACAACUCGGUGGUGGGGGACACGUUCGGGUCGGACCGCAUCUUCUUCAGCGUCGCCGAGGCCGUCGCGGCGGCGCCGUACAAGGCGCAGCCCUGA
rnacentral:rRNA from 1 species